AGGAAGAGGUACAGCAGGAGAUC
rnacentral:snRNA from 1 species